rnacentral:rRNA from 1 species
GCAAUCUCGGGCUUGGUUAGUACUUGGAUGGGUGACCGCUUGGGAAUACCAAGUGUGAUAAGCA